rnacentral:rRNA from 1 species
GACGAACGCUGGCGGCGUGCUUAACACAUGCAAGUCGAACGGAAAGGCCCUGCUUGCAGGGUACUCGAGUGGCGAACGGGUGAGUAACACGUGGGUGAUCUGCCCUGCACUUCGGGAUAAGCCUGGGAAACUGGGUCUAAUACCGGAUAGGAGCCAUUUUUAGUGUGAUGGUUGGAAAGUUUUUUCGGUGUAGGAUGAGCUCGCGGCCUAUCAGCUUGUUGGUGGGGUAAUGGCCUACCAAGGCGGCGACGGGUAGCCGGCCUGAGAGGGUGGACGGCCACAUUGGGACUGAGAUACGGCCCAGACUCCUACGGGAGGCAGCAGGGGGGAAUAUUGCACAAUGGGCGCAAGCCUGAUGCAGCGACGCCGCGUGGGGGAUGACGGCCUUCGGGUUGUAAACUCCUUUCGCUAGGGACGAGGCUUUUUGUGACGGUACCUAGAUAAGAAGCACCGGCUAACUACGUG